AACCACUUCGGUGGGGAUUAGUGGCGAACGGGUGAGUAACACGUGGGCAAUCUGCCCUUCACUCUGGGACAAGCCCUGGAAACGGGGUCUAAUACCGGAUAACACUUCUGCUCUCAUGGGCAGGGGUUAAAAGCUCCGGCGGUGAAGGAUGAGCCCGCGGCCUAUCAGCUUGUUGGUGAGGUAAUGGCUCACCAAGGCGACGACGGGUAGCCGGCCUGAGAGGGCGACCGGCCACACUGGGACUGAGACACGGCCCAGACUCCUACGGGAGGCAGCAGUGGGGAAUAUUGCACAAUGGGCGAAAGCCUGAUGCAGCGACGCCGCGUGAGGGAUGACGGCCUUCGGGUUGUAAACCUCUUUCAGCAGGGAAGAAGCGAAAGUGACGGUACCUGCAGAAGAAGCGCCGGCUAACUACGUGCCAGCAGCCGCGGUAAUACGUAGGGCGCAAGCGUUGUCCGGAAUUAUUGGGCGUAAAGAGCUCGUAGGCGGCUUGUCACGUCGGGUGUGAAAGCCCGGGGCUUAACCCCGGGUCUGCAUUCGAUACGGGCUAGCUAGAGUGUGGUAGGGGAGAUCGGAAUUCCUGGUGUAGCGGUGAAAUGCGCAGAUAUCAGGAGGAACACCGGUGGCGAAGGCGGAUCUCUGGGCCAUUACUGACGCUGAGGAGCGAAAGCGUGGGGAGCGAACAGGAUUAGAUACCCUGGUAGUCCACGCCGUAAACGGUGGGAACUAGGUGUUGGCGACAUUCCACGUCGUCGGUGCCGC
rnacentral:rRNA from 1 species